AGAAGAUUAAGAACCCAUGACAGCUUUCAAUGAAAAGCACAAAAGGAAGUACUUGACUUGCUCCCAGUGUUUAUUACUGGCAAGAUAAGAAACCUUCAGAUAAGAAACCUUUGUACUAAAUCCUGAUGCAGGGACAGGUACUGCAACAUUGUUAGAAUUGUUUGCUACAUUUGAAGCAUUGCACUUAUAUCUUUUCCCUCUGGACUUUGAACUUUACUAUUUGGGAAACGAAUCAAAGACUUAUGGUUUAUGUUUUUGGCUAUGUUUUUUUAUUAUUGUAUUGUAUUAUUUUUUCACAGUUACCAAGGCCUUUUUUUAAAUGAAGGUUCAAUUUCACUAAUUGAAUGCACUUGUUAAUUAAUUGAUUGAUGCACCUAUAAAUGUACCAUUGUACACAGAUCCAUUAUGCUUGACAAAGGGGCUUGCCCCGAAACAUUGCACUUCCGCUAAUAAAAUUUUACAAGG